rnacentral:rRNA from 1 species
AUGAGAGCUGUUCAUCGUGCUGAGAGACCUCUCAUUCGUUAUGGUCCAAUGUUUACCCUGGAUCAGGAGAGGAUGGCGAAUCUAAACUACAUCUACAACUACAACGACACAGAGUCUCUGUGGAUGCUUUGAAUGGAAAGAGCGCCAUUUGCCAGGCUUGUGCAGACCUUCAGGAGCAAGGGGCUGCUAGAAGAUAGUAUCCACACCAGUGUGGAAGAGCAAGUAGCCAUGUUCCUCCAUGUUGUUGGUCAUAACCAGAGGUUCAGGGUUAUGCACAACACCUUCAGGAGAACAAUGGAGACCAUCUUCAGGUACUUCAGGCAAGUGCUAUAUGUUGUUGAGGAACUCAGAGGAGAGAUGAUUGUGUCACCAACCGGCUGGACUCCUACCAAGAUUCGCACUAGCCCAAGAUGGUAUCUAUAUUUCAAGGUGAGCACUGACAGUAUGUAG